AUUGAACGCUGGCGGCAUGCCUUACACAUGCGAGUCGAACGGUAACGGGCCUUCGGGUGCCGACGAGUGGCGAACGGGUGAGUAAUACAUCGGAACGUGCCCGAUCGUGGGGGAUAACGAGGCGAAAGCUUUGCUAAUACCGCAUACGAUCUACGGAUGAAAGCAGGGGACCGCAAGGCCUUGCGCGGACGGAGCGGCCGAUGGCAGAUUAGGUAGUUGGUGGGAUAAAAGCUUACCAAGCCGACGAUCUGUAGCUGGUCUGAGAGGAUGAUCAGCCACACUGGGACUGAGACACGGCCCAGACUCCUACGGGAGGCAGCAGUGGGGAAUGUUGGACAAUGGGCGCAAGCCUGAUCCAGCCAUGCCGCGUGCAGGAUGAAGGCCUUCGGGUUGUAAACUGCUUUUGUACGGAACGAAAAGCCUUCUUUUAAUACAGGAGGGUCAUGACGGUACCGUAAGAAUAAGCACCGGCUAACUACGUG
rnacentral:rRNA from 1 species